AAUAUCGCGAGUCGGGGCGCCGUGAGCGCUGAGCGAACAGGUACAGUAGUGAGUUGUCGUCUGUGGAAAAAGAUGGAUAAAGCAAAAAAGAAAAAAGAAAGAGGGAAAAGGAGAUAGCAUGUCAAUGUAUGCAACAGCAGUUAAGUACGUGGAUGGUGAAAGGCAACAGGUGUGAGGAUGGUGGAUCAGUAAAGACAGGGGAAGGCAACAGUGGAGAAGAGCACAGGCAAGGAGUGAAUGAGACAGACAUGAGGUCGGCGAUGACUAGAGAUGAGCCCAGUGAUGACAUCAAGGAGGACUUGCCGUGCAGACUGGCCCGGCCUAGUGCAGAGACACGGAGAUGAGGUGUCAGCAGAAAGGGACACAGAGAGGUGAGAAAGGACGGGUGGAUUGAAUUUAAUGAGGGGAAAUGAAGGGAAGGAAAGAACAGGUAAGAGGUGAAUGAAUAAAGAAAAGGAAGAGAAACGCCAGAUGAAUUUUAAAGAGAAAAUCAACCUUUGAACGGUUCAGAUAUAAAUGUGCAGGGAUCACACAAUGUGUUAGUGUAAGUGUCUCAGGGUAACAGCACAGUUCAGACCUGUUUCCAAACAGAGUCAAUGCUGCAACAACAUCAAAGUAGGAUAACCAACGCAGUUGUGUAUAUACGCAGCAAAAUCUGUCACUUAAGCCUCAGUGCGGCUGAGAUGUCCUCAUCUCCAUGUGUGUGGCAGUCUAUUUUGGAGAUGCACUGAGGCAAGGACAGGUCAUUACUUCCUUUGAGGAGUGGGAAGUGGCCAACAUGACAACAGAGAAGCCUCAGGGAUACACAGGAGUCACAAUCCAUCAGAACAGAUAUCAGCUUUUGACUUGGCGAGUACAGAGUCAGGAAUAGCUGCAUUUUACUUUUACAGAUCAAAAGCUGGGAGAAGGGGGAUUGAUGAUGUUGCUCCGGGCAAUCUGGCAACUGGAUCAUAGCAGAUGGCGACUGGCAAUAAGGGCUAAACAAAAGGGCUUUCAGGGAGCACAGGCCGGCUCAAAACGUCAGCAUUAUCAAAGCCUGGCUAUCCCUCAUUAAUCCCCUCACUCUGCCCUAUCCUCUUCAUUUUGUGGGUAUUCCUGACUAAUUUGGUUUGCCUUCCUAAAUCUCCUCUGCAGCAUGACAGCCCAGGUAAAUAUAUCAGCUGCACUGGCGGCUGCCUCACUGAGUUAAAGGUACGACAGUCAAAAGUGAUGUGUGUCCCCUAGCCUGUAUUUGUGUGUGUGUCUGAGUGUGUGUGAGUAUGUGUGUCCUUGUUAGCCUAUUUAUAUAUCAGAUCAUAUUUGUCCAGCUUACAACCAUGUCGGUCUCCUCUCUUGGCUGACUGGAAAGAACUGAGAAAGAGAUGCCAUGUUUCUUAUUGAGUGUGAAUUAUGUAUUUAAUACACUGUAUACAGUCUCUAUGUAUCCUCCACUAUCCACCACUGUGUACCUGCCCUUUGACUCAAUCUCUCUUUGUCUGAGGGUAAACAAUCUGUCCAGACAGAAGUGGAUGUCCUUUUUGGACUUGAUGUAUUCAAGCAUAGAAGUUAACGAACAGGAAAUCAUGCAUGAGUGUGUCUGUAUAAACACAGGGUGCUAUUCUGACUCUCACUUACGGUAUGACAGCGUAGUGGUGCUUCAUUUUCACAUAUGGCCCUUGCUUUACCCACGCUAAUCUCUGAAUUACCCGGUGAAUGUUUAUGUAAAUUAAGAUGUUGAUGACUAGAGACCAUCUUGCAAUGGGAUCACACCAGCCGCAGUGGUGGCUGGUGUGAUCCUCGAAUACAGAUGUGAAGAGUUUCCUGACUGUAUCUUGCACGGUUGUGACACUAUUGCGGAAACAAAAAUCAGUUGCAGACAGACAGACAGACACCAUCUUGUAAUUUUGGAGCUAGUAGUGAUCCCAUCCCGCCCACACACCCGCUCGACCAAUCGCGAGUCAAUCACAGCUGUCAAUCAUGACGUUUCAACCCAUUUUUAUGGCAUCAAAUAACCAAACAUCAGAAAAAUCCAAAAACAUCAGCGGGAUCAGAACGACCUAAAAAAACAGAAACCAUCUUCAGGGAAAAUGUGAUUGACGUUUUUAGUUUGGCUCAUGUCCCAUCCGCUAACAUAGAGGGGCGGGGUUUAUGACCUAUACUGCAGCCAGCCACCAGGGGGCGAUCCAGAUGUUCUGGCUUCAGUUAUACAGUCUAUUCAGCAACCCCUAGGAAAAAGAAAACAAAAAUUUGGAUGCUGUUCAUAUCCAAAAUGUAUUUGUAUUCGUUCACAUCCCUUACAUGAAACACAUUCCUCUUUAUCAUCAGCCCUUGUGCUUGCAUUACUUCCUUUCUGUACAAAACAAAGACUCAUCCUGCCAAUUAAACGGUUGACAAACUACGUCACUUAAAAGCAGAUGUCUAAACAAUCUGCUACACGAUUUUUGGGAUCACCAGGUAAAAUCAAGUAGCUUUUAAUAAGCACUUAGAACACAAAUAAGACAAUGCUAUUUAACAUUCGGACUGUUUUUUAAAUAUCUUUAAACAGGAAACAGAAUAGAUACGGCAAGCCCUGCUCACACAGAAGGUCAGACGAUAUUAUAUACCACAACCCUGUUAAUGAUGUAUUUUACAUUUACCACCAGUUGCUGACAUGGCCUCCAUGCUCUGUGCCCUCUGGGGUCACAUCCUACUCAAUUAUCAACAAAAAUAAAUCUCCACUGUUGAGUCAAAACACCAUCAGUGGUAUGAUGCUCUCUGUUUGCUCUGUGUGUGGAUACAUUUCACACCUCUGACAGCUAUAGUCUUAAGCUAUUUUGAAGUAUAUGAAUGCAGGUUUUACUCUUGUUUUCACAACAGUAAGUUAGCAUUUGUCUGACAGCCUAUGCGAAAAAGAUAUCACCGGGAAUGGGAUAUGUCAGGCUUUGAUACUCACACAAUGCGUUCCAAUAGCCAGUUCCAUUUUGGAUCUGAUUCCAAGUUCAUAAAAUACCUGGAUUUCUUUGUUUUAUUCACCAUCUCUCUUAGAUAGUCUAUUUAGCAUCUUACUGACAGUACAGGCAUCUACAAAGAAAUACAGGUGACGUAUACAAACCUGUGCUUACUAAGAGACACUGUUGUUAAUAACGCUGACUAGGGCCACACUAUAUUGGAAAGACACUGCAAUAUUUUUUUCCUGCGAUACAUAUUGCAACAUGAAUACAUUCUGGAAUAUUCACAAGAUUACAGUAUUUUAUUUGAAUAUUACUAUUUUGAAAUAAUAAAUAAUUCACAAAUUACUGGGGUGAUUUUUGAAGACGAGUGCAUCCGCAUAGAAAAAAUUAAAAAGUGACUCUUAUUUGAACCAUCCUUUGUUGAACUUUAAUGCUUUACAAACACAAAAGAAAGUGAGGAGGGGUACAUUUGCUACUCAAAUACACUGGUUGACUCACAUCUUUGUAUUCAUAUAAUACUCUACUAUCAUUCCAUUCUGAAGUCAGUGAUAUUAAUAAUGCAUGCAUGUUGCUUCCCCUAAAAUAAGGGGGCUCCCUGAUGUUGCUCCCCUCCUGUUCCUCGCUCAUUUUCAGGUUGUGGUCGACUAGCGGGGCCUGCUUUGCAGGGGUGGGGGAAAAAUCGAUACAGCAUAGUAUUGCGAUAUUUUCCGUGGCAAUACUGUAUCGAU